rnacentral:rRNA from 1 species
CGAGCAACGCCGCGUGAGUGAAGAAGGUUUUCGGAUCGUAAAACUCUGUUGUUAGAGAAGAACAAGGAUGAGAGUAACUGUUCAUCCCUUGACGGUAUCUAACCAGAAAGCCACGGCUAACUACGUGCCAGCAGCCGCGGUAAUACGUAGGUGGCAAGCGUUGUCCGGAUUUAUUGGGCGUAAAGCGAGCGCAGGCGGUUUCUUAAGUCUGAUGUGAAAGCCCCCGGCUCAACCGGGGAGGGUCAUUGGAAACUGGGAGACUUGAGUGCAGAAGAGGAGAGUGGAAUUCCAUGUGUAGCGGUGAAAUGCGUAGAUAUAUGGAGGAACACCAGUGGCGAAUGCGGCUCUCUGGUCUGUAACUGACGCUGAGGC